UGCAGUGGGUACGGGCAGACUAGAGUGCGGUAGGGGAGAUUGGAAUUCCUGGUGUAGCGGUGGAAUGCGCAGAUAUCAGGAGGAACACCGAUGGCGAAGGCAGAUCUCUGGGCCGUAACUGACGCUGAGGAGCGAAAGGGUGGGGAGCAAACAGGCUUAGAUACCCUGGUAGUCCACCCCGUAAACGUUGGGAACUAGUUGUGGGGUCCUUUCCACGGAUUCCGUGACGCAGCUAACGCAUUAAGUUCCCCGCCUGGGGAGUACGGCCGCAAGGCUAAAACUCAAAGGAAUUGACGGGGACCCGCACAAGCGGCGGAGCAUGCGGAUUAAUUCGAUGCAACGCGAAGAACCUUACCAAGGCUUGACAUACACCAGAACACCCCAGAAAUGGGGGACUCUUUGGACACUGGUGAACAGGUGGUGCAUGGUUGUCGUCAGCUCGUGUCGUGAGAUGUUGGGUUAAGUCCCGCAACGAGCGCAACCCUCGUUCUAUGUUGCCAGCACGUUAUGGUGGGAACUCAUGGGAUACUGCCGGGGUCAACUCGGAGGAAGGUGGGGAUGACGUCAAAUCAUCAUGCCCCUUAUGUCUUGGGCUUCACGCAUGCUACAAUGGCCGGUACAAAGGGCUGCAAUACCGUGAGGUGGAGCGAAUCCCAAAAAGCCGGUCCCAGUUCGGAUUGAGGUCUGCAACUCGACCUCAUGAAGUCGGAGUCGCUAGUAAUCGCAGAUCAGCAACGCUGCGGUGAAUACGUUCCCGGGUCUUGUACACACCGCCCGUCAAGUCAUGAAAGUCGGUAACACCUGAAGCCGG
rnacentral:rRNA from 1 species